AGACUUAAAGGGAUUGAGAUAGGAAAGCGUGCAAUGAGCUACUUCGUAUGCUGCCACUGCAACCUGGACCCGGAUAAGUGGCAGAAAAUGAAUGAAU